CCUACGGGAGGCAGCAGUGAGGAAUAUUGGUCAAUGGGCGAGAGCCUGAACCAGCCAAGUCGCGUGAAGGAUGAAGGAUCUAUGGUUUGUAAACUUCUUUUAUAUGGGAAUAAAGUGAGGAACGUGUUCCUUUUUGUAUGUACCAUAUGAAUAAGCAUCGGCUAACUCCGUGCCAGCAGCCGCGGUAAUACGGAGGAUGCGAGCGUUAUCCGGAUUUAUUGGGUUUAAAGGGUGCGUAGGUGGUUAAUUAAGUCAGCGGUGAAAGUUUGUGGCUCAACCAUAAAAUUGCCGUUGAAACUGGUUGACUUGAGUAUAUUUGAGGUAGGCGGAAUGCGUGGUGUAGCGGUGAAAUGCAUAGAUAUCACGCAGAACUCCGAUUGCGAAGGCAGCUUACUAAACUAUAACUGACACUGAAGCACGAAAGCGUGGGGAUCAAAC
rnacentral:rRNA from 1 species